AUUGAACGCUGGCGGCAGGCUUAACACAUGCAAGUCGGGCGGGGUGAUGGUGCUUGCACUAUCACUUAGCGGCGGACGGGUGAGUAAUGCUUAGGAAUCUGCCUAUUAGUGGGGGACAACAUCCCGAAAGGGAUGCUAAUACCGCAUACGUCCUACGGGAGAAAGCAGGGGAUCACUUGUGACCUUGCGCUAAUAGAUGAGCCUAAGUCGGAUUAGCUAGUUGGUGGGGUAAAGGCCUACCAAGGCGACGCUCUGUAGCGGGUCUGAGAGGAUGAUCCGCCACGCUGGGACUGAGACACGGCCCAGACUCCUACGGGAGGCAGCAGUGGGGAAUAUUGGACAAUGGGGGGAACCCUGAUCCAGCCAUGCCGGGUGUGUGAAGAAGGCCUUAUGGUUGUAAAGCACUUUAAGCGAGGAGGAGGCUCUUUUGGUUAAUACCCAAGAUGAGUGGACGUUACUCGCAGAAUAAGCACCGGCUAACUCUGUGCCAGCCGCCGCCGUAA
rnacentral:rRNA from 1 species